rnacentral:tRNA from 1 species
UGUGGCUCAAUGGUAGAGCACUUGCCUAGCAUGUGGGAGGCACUGGGUUCAAUUCUCAGCA